UACGUAGGGGGCAAGCGUUGUCCGGAUUUAUUGGGCGUAAAGAGCGUGUAGGCGGCCAGGUAGGUCCGUUGUGAAAACUGGAGGCCUAACCUCCAGCUGUCGAUGGAAACCAUCUGGCUAGAGUCCGGAAGAGGAGAGUGGAAUUCCUGGUGUAGCGGUGAAAUGCGCAGAUAUCAGGAAGAACACCCGUGGCGAAGGCGGCUCUCUGGGACGGUACUGACGCUGAGACGCGAAAGCGUGGGGAGCGAACAGG
rnacentral:rRNA from 1 species